AGAUUCCAUUUCGUGUUAAGGAUCCAGAUUCAGUAAGAUAUCACUUAGUGGGAGAUUCAUGGCCAACAGUACAGAAAGCUUGUAUCUUUUACCGUAUAAUACUAUUCCUGUAGGAUGUCACUGAUUGUUGGUUGCUAUUGAUCCUUUCAAAGAAGUGGUGUAUUAUCUGAAUUCGGUAGAUGGUGAUUGGACAAAUUAUCCAGAUAUGAAGUUAAUGAUUAAUACAUCAAUACAAGUAUUCGGCCCUCAAAGAGAAACUCGAGUAUCACGGUUUAGAUCAAGCAACAUUAUAUGGAUCAAAGUGGAGUGUGCUCGUCAGCGUAACAGUAAAGAUUGCGGAUACUUUGUUAUGAGUACUUUGAUGAAUACAAGUGUGCUCAUUACACGAAAAAUCAAUUGGAAGAAAUCAAGGAGGAAUUGUGUGAAUACUUUAUUGAGAAAAUAAUCAUAUAAGGACCUUUAAUUUUGUUGGAGCCAAGUUAGUUUAAUUGACCGUGUUGUUCUGUUUAUACCUUGAAAGACCAGGACCGUCCGCUCGUCGAAUUUUGACGAUUUCAGACUGAUUUUGAUAGGGCUGAUUUAGUUAUUGUUAGGGUUGAUUUAGUUAUCGUUAGGGAUGACUUUGUUAUUGUUAGGGCUGAUUUUGGUUCUGUUGCAAACAUGUGAAUUGAAUUAUAAUGGUGUAUAUAUUUUGGUAUAUAAUGGUAUAUAAUUCCUUUUUUUGUACA